AGUGUUUGAAGUAUUCUUUCCCAGAAAAAAACCAGCAGCAACCUUGUUCCUAGUUUAGUUCUAUUACAUAACACAAUGUGCUGCGUGCCACAUAUCUAUGCUGCACAUAGGUACUGCAAGGAUGGAAAUAUGAAUAUGUGAUUUCACCCUUCCUUUUCCUACUAUUUCCAGCUAAGACUAUCAUAUAUGCAUGUUUUAUACAUCUCUGACCAUGAGCAUUUCAAGCUUUCAGUGACCUGAAUCUCACUGUGGAAAGGAAGAUGAAGAAAUUAGCCACAAGAGAAAAAAGCCCUGGAAGGAAAUUAAUAUCUGGUUGGAAUUAUACAAAGGAAGAGACAGAAGUACAUCGACAUCAUGACGCUGCCUUCACCAGACAAGCAUGGCUGUGGUCUUCCUGGUCCUGAAACACCUUUUUGAUUUUCAGUAGCAUCAAGAGCAAAACUUCCAUCACCUUGAUAUUUUGUCAACAAACUCUCAAGGACACCCGUGACAGCCAGGAGUUGGAGUUAAUGCUUCAUUCCAGGGGCUCAACUUGAGUAAUAUUAAAGGAAGCCUGGAACUGAUCGAUGUUUAAUUUUAUUACUGAAGAGAACUAAGAAAACCUUUCUGAAGCAUUUAAUAAAUUUCCAUAAUAAUAUAAGCCUGUGACUGUUUCUAUAACACGUUGUUCAAUUAUUGGUGUCUUUGAAAACAAAGCAAAUUAAUUUCAUGUAUACAAAUUUGCAUAACGUGUGAAAGUAAUGCAAGAACUGAAAAAGUUUCCUAUACACUACUGAGAACAGCUCACAAAAAAAUUUAUAGUAAAAUGUUCACUUCCAAGCUCCCAACUGCCUGGCCGAACUCUCAGUUAAAGAAGUCAAGGAUGGAUAUUUAAAUUCAACGUCUAAGGGAAAAAACCUUCAAAGUCCACAAAAGGCAUAAAAAGUAGAGAACUUCAGAUUGGUUGGGAGAAAAAUAUUGAUUACAAUAAAGAAAAUAUCUGAGACGAUGGUUGUCAACAAAUUUCAAAUGCUGGAAAUGCUGAACUUACUCUGAGUAAAAACAAAUUCCAUAUUCUUCCUCUAUUAGUAUAUAAAGCUAUUUUUCUUUCACUUUAAUAAGGAAUUAGUAUUAAAUUUGUUAUUUGAAAUCCAUCUAUAUUUUGAGUUGUUUCUUCAAAGAAUUCUAUUUCUUACAUGCAAAACCUUUCUGCAAUAAAGAAUGCAGACCUGUUCACUGCGCAA